GGAAAUAAAAGUCGUAACAAGGUUUCCGUAGGUGAACCUGCGGAAGGAUCAUUAACGAGUUAGGGUCUUUCAGGCCCGACCUCCCAACCCUAUGUUUAUUGAACCUCUGUUGCUUCGGCGGACCCGCCUCACGACCGCCGGAGGACCGCCGCGAGGCGUCCUCUGGCCAGUGUCCGCCGAGAGCCAACCACUUAACACUCUGAAUAAAUCAUGUCAUUAUGUCUAAGUCUAUGAUUAAAUUAAAGCAAAACUCUCAACAACGGAUCUCUUGGUUCUG
rnacentral:misc_RNA from 1 species